GGGAGCUUAUAGAUAUAUGAUAAAAGAAAUGAGGAGAAGAAAGAAGGCUAAUAUAAGGGAGGCACAUUCACAUCUUUUCUGGAAGAGAUGGCUAGAAUUUUCUUGGAAUUUGGGUGCCACAUCAUCACUUUUUUGGUUUUCUGGUUGUCAUGACACUCGCCAAUUACUAUGGCACUGAAGGGAGAGUUACUGAGCAUGCAGAUGGGAUUAUAGUGAAGUUAGACAUUCUCUGGCAGGCUCUCUGGCAAGCAUCUUAGACUCAGCCAAUUUUGGUGAGCCCACCAACCUCUGGCCCUCAGGGAUCCUGAUCUCAAAGUCAAGAUUAGGGCAAGAAACUCAGCUAGGUCAAGUAGGCAGAACAAGAUUCAGGCAGGGAACACUGGCACAGCUCUGCCCUGGAGGAGUCUCUGGAGGUGCCUGAGGGAGUUAGAAUUAGUUUCACAGAGCAGGAAAGUCUGUGGAGGAAAUCAAUUGGCAGCACCAAGGCAACCUGGAGAGGCUUCCAGUAGCUGGUACAUGGACUCAUCCAGAGUGAGUACUGGAGCCAACAUUUGCUGGAACUAGGCCAGUCACAGAACCAUAUACCCACUAGUCACAACCCAAAGAUGAAGCGGAAACUCAGGAUUUCUACUUAGCCUUACUUCGGCACAGAUGACAUUGCUAAGCAUAGUCAGAGAUGUUGAUCCCUAAGAAACAUCUCACACUCCAAAGUCUGCACGGUCCCUGCUUCUGGAAAAACCUGUCUACAAUACCUUCAUUUCAUCACUCCCAACUCCACUUGUGUCAACUGGAACAUGAACAAAGCUGCACUCAACCCCUCCACUGUUUGCAGGAGAUUCAAACCAGAGCCAGUAGGAAAGAGAACAAGUCUUCCUCAUUCCUAUUUUCCCUUCUAUGUGGAUGCAACCCCAGCAGCUAGAACACUCUUGGCUUUUCUCUCUCCACUCACUCCCUCCUCCCUGAAAGGGUAAAUGCGGAGGUGUGGCCCAGCUCGUUCCUUUUUUUGGAGAGGAGUUGCACACAGAAACCACAUGUUCUUCCUCAUACCCAGUGGCUGUCAGUUUUCCAGAGACAACCCGUGAUUGAGAGAGUCCUUCAGUGGCCAGUGCUGAACUGGCUGAGUGUCCAAUUCUGUGGCUUAGUUUUGAGAAGCCCAUCUGCCUGCAGACAUAAGUCACAUUCCCAAUGUCUGGUUUAUCAGUAGGAAAAGAUGUCAUGUUCACCACCAGCUGCUGACAUUCAUUCUAUGUCAUACGGUUUAAGGACUCAGACAAGAAAGAAGAUAAUCAUUAGUGAAAUUCUACCAAACCCCCUUACCUCCACAGAAAGCUCCAGCUCUGUGGCAAGGUCAGUGCGGGGUAGAACCCAGCAAGGGCAGCGAGCAUGCUGGGCUAGGAAGUGCCCUGCUUAGAUGUCCUACCCAGACACAAGCUGCAGGGAGCAUAGCUGACUAGCAACCUUGGAGUUUCCCCUCUGUAUCUACCCAGACACUGUCACUGUCACUGUCAGUAGGACCAGGUUUUCUCCCAUCAGACAACACAGUGUAGCAGGAAUGCUAAGGCCAGGCCAGUCCUGCCUGUGCAGGUUUCAUUCAACAGGCAGCUUUGUCUAAAGGAUUCCCCACCAGCCUGGUCCCCAUUUUCUUGGACCACAUUGCAGCCCAAGCCUCUCUCUUCUUACUCAAAACUGUCUCUCUUCUUCCACCCAUGUUAGAUCAGCAUGGUGGUCUGAAGGCUCUUCCUGCCUACAACUGCUCAUUUCUCCCUCACAGUACAGUAUAAGGCAUCUCCCCAUAUCAUGAUGUCUAAUUCAUCUGGUGUCCCAUUCUUGAAGAUUCUGGACUGGCAGAGAAUGUAACUUCCCAAAGCAGAACAAUGGAGGAGCAUCAGGGCUGUGUUGAUCCUAGCUUUUUGAUGCUAGAAUCCUGCUUUGGGUGGCCCAUUUGUAAGGCAAUUCCAGAAAUCUGGGCACUCA
rnacentral:lncRNA from 1 species